rnacentral:rRNA from 1 species
CUUCCGUAGGGGGAACCUGCGGAAGGAUCAUUACAGAAUGAAAAGUGCUUAACUGCAUUUUUUCUUACACAUGUGUUUUUCUUUUUUUGAAAACUUUGCUUUGGUAGGCCUUCUAUAUGGGGCCUGCCAGAGAUUAAACUCAACCAAAUUUUAUUUAAUGUCAACCGAUUAUUUAAUAGUCAAAACUUUCAACAACGGAUCUCUUGGUUCUCGCAUCGAUGAAGAACGCAGCGAAAUGCGAUAAGUAAUAUGAAUUGCAGAUAUUCGUGAAUCAUCGAAUCUUUGAACGCACAUUGCGCCCUUUGGUAUUCCAAAGGGCAUGCCUGUUUGAGCGUCAUUUCUCCCUCAAACCCUCGGGUUUGGUGUUGAGCGAUACGCUGGGUUUGCUUGAAAGAAAGGCGGAGUAUAAACUAAUGGAUAGGUUUUUUCCACUCAUUGGUACAAACUCCAAAACUUCUUCCAAAUUCGACCUCAAAUCAGGUAGGACUACCCGCUGAACUUAAGCAUAUCAAUAAGCGGAGGAA